rnacentral:rRNA from 1 species
GACGAACGCUGACGGCGUGCCUAAUACAUGCAAGUAGAACGCUGAAGCGAGGAGCUUACUCUUCUUGGAUGAGUUGCGAACGGGUGAGUAACGCGUAGGUAACCUGCCUUGUAGCGGGGGAUAACUAUUGGAAACGAUAGCUAAUACCGCAUAACAAUGGAUGACACAUGUCAUUUAUUUGAAAGGGGCAAUUGCUCCACUACAAGAUGGACCUGCGUUGUAUUAGCUAGUAGGUGAGGUAAUGGCUCACCUAGGCGACGAUACAUAGCCGACCUGAGAGGGUGAUCGGCCACACUGGGACUGAGACACGGCCCAGACUCCUACGGGAGGCAGCAGUAGGGAAUCUUCGGCAAUGGGGGCAACCCUGACCGAGCAACGCCGCGUGAGUGAAGAAGGUGUUCGGAUCGUAAAGCUCUGUUGUAAGUCAAGAACGGGUGUGAGAGUGGAAAGUUCACACUGUGACGGUAGCUUACCAGAAAGGGACGGCUAACUACGU